rnacentral:rRNA from 1 species
AGAGUUUGAUCAUGGCUCAGGAUGAACGCUAGCUACAGGCUUAACACAUGCAAGUCGAGGGGAAACGACAUCGAAAGCUUGCUUUUGAUGGGCGUCGACCGGCGCACGGGUGAGUAACGCGUAUCCAACCUGCCCACCACUUGGGGAUAACCUUGCGAAAGUAAGACUAAUACCCAAUGACGUCUCUAGAAGACAUCUGAAAGAGAUUAAAGAUUUAUCGGUGAUGGAUGGGGAUGCGUCUGAUUAGCUUGUUGGCGGGGUAACGGCCCACCAAGGCUACGAUCAGUAGGGGUUCUGAGAGGAAGGUCCCCCACAUUGGAACUGAGACACGGUCAAACCCUCUACGGGAGGCA